rnacentral:rRNA from 1 species
AUUGAACGCUGGCGGCAGGCCUAACACAUGCAAGUCGAACGAGUGGCGGACGGGUGAGUCAUGUCUGGGAAACUGCCCGAUGGAGGGGGAUAACUACUGGAAACGGUAGCUCAUCCCGCAUACCAUCAGAUGUGCCCAGAUGGGAUUAGCUAGUAGGUGGGGUAAUGGCUCACAGAGGCGCCGAUCCCUAGAUGGUCUGAGAGGAGGACCAGCGACACGGGAGCUGAGACACGGUCAUGAGUACUACGGGCGGCAGCAGGGGGGAAUAUUGCACAAUGGGCGCAAUCCUGAUGCAGUCAUGACGCGUGUAUGAAGAAGGCCUGCGGGUUGUAAAGUACUGUCAGCGGGGAUGCGUUACCCGCAGAAGAAGCACCGGCUAACUCCGUGCCAGCAGCCGCGGUAAUG